GUGGACCUACCAAAGAGGCAGCAACAGGUCUCCAAGAUAUUUUGGAUUAGGAUGGAUUUUUAUGUGAUAAUUCCUGUCUUGUCCUGGGGAGAUGUCUCAGAGGCUAAGAGCACAUACUGCUCUUCCAAAGGUCCUGAGUUCAAUUCCUAGAACCCACAAUGGGCAGCUCACAACCAACUGCAGUUCCAGCUCCAGGGAACUGCCAUGCCUUUGACCACAAGGGUACCUGGAUACACGUGCACAUGCUCCCGUACGUCAUCAAGAAUAAUAAAAAAAAAAGUCUUAAAAAAGAUGUUUGUUCAAUAAGGCAUCAAAACUACACCUCCAUGCUUUUAUAUGCAAGAAUGAACCUUGCUCUGCAACUGAACUUUGUAAUUUAAGAGUCACCCAGGUGACAAUGGUUUUAAAGACAUGAAGGGAUCAUGGGGAACAGCUGAGGUUUGCAAAUGUGUAGCAGGGCUAGAGUUUCUAAAGAGGGCCCAGUCGCAAUGUGGACCUUAGCAGUUUUAGAAAUGCCAAUGCCAUGUGACAGUCACCAGAAACACCAGCCACAGUGAAAUGGAGCAGGCUCAGAUCUAGAAGGCGGGCUGUGUACAUGCUGCCGAGGGUGGGGCCAAAGAGGUGAUCCAAGCCUCUCAAGAGAUCCAAAAGGUGAAUGAUCCCAGAUGCUGAGCUUUGGAUUGUUUGUGCUAUUGGAGUGCGGUUUUGCCCUGUGCAGAUUGUGGUUGGGACGUUUUCUCCCUCUUGAAAUAAAAAAAGGGUAGCUGGUGCCUCCUUGUGACCUCUGAAGAUUACCACAGCUCUGGAAAAAUACAAACGCGUGGAUAACCGCCAUUUUUGGCCGAGGUCAAAAUAAAAACCUCAGCACCAUCUUUGGUAAGAGCACCCACUGUGCUAAUCCUACCAAGGAGACAUUCUGCCUCCAAUAUACUUUGAUUUACUAAAAUAUUCCUUCUAAUCUUCUUGCCUCUACUAGCAUUGAUGAAAUAAACUAUAUGUCUAAAUUUAACUUAUGUCUAAUUUAUAUAUACCUGACAGAAAAUGGUACCCUAAUUCUCAAGUGCCUUUACUGAUCCGAGAGUAUGGCAUUUAACAAAAGAGCUUCUUAUGACAGAGACAUGCCACCUCCUGCAGAAUCCUAUAGUUCCUCCAAAAAGAUGCAUGAUUGCAGAAGAUCCUCUGCCUGGAGGUUUGCCUUUGGAUAUGGCAAAGUCACCCACACAGCAAAAACCUGCCUUCCACUUCAUCAGCUUCCUAGAUACUGCAUUGGGGGAUUGAACAUCUCAUCCUGCCCAGACAGGUAGGCGGAACCCUACCCCCAACAGGAAAAUCCAUCCUGCCUCCUGGGCUCAGCUGCUAAAGGCAUGUACUGCUUCUAAGACUUUUAUUCACCAAAGACUACGGAGAGACUUGGGAUUGCCUACAUAGCUAAAAAAAAAAGCUCUUAUUUCUGCUCAUUUAAUCUGUCUGAUGAUAUUUAAUGACUUAAGGUACUGGUAGCUCAUUACUUCAUUUGUUAAGUUUCCUGCUAAAAAUACAGACAAGUGGGCCUCUUUCACAGGCUUUAUAGUUCAGGGUUAACAGGUUUCAGGUGUAUCUUCAGAGGUUCAGCGUUUCUGAUUUCCUUUAUCUGAUCUGGUAAAAACAAUCUCCAGAGCCUAUUUAAACCCCACCCAUUUCCAAGCAUAUUUUACAGGUCACUCCUGCUGUCUGGGCCAAGACCAACUUACAGAGGACCUUCUAGAAAAUGCCAACGCCUACACUGACUCCUGGAACUUCACCAUUGGUACCACCACUCCUGACACCUACCCAACAACUAAAAUCUGGUUUUAAAGGGCAUAUCUGCCCUUGUGACUCACUUGUUCACCCAUGCCUCUCCUAUACAACCAGGGUACAUACUAUCUCAUUCUUUCUGACAAUUGAUGACCCUUCCCAUAGCUAGCCCAUUCAUAGGGCCAAUAAUAACAAUCUAUUUUUUCUGCUAGCCACCUGCCUUAUCUCCCUCAAGGAACAGAUGCCUGAGGUCUCCAGGAUGUCAGUUAGCCAGAUGCCUCUCCAGCCAUACUUCCUGCUGAGUGUGAGCCCACCAACUCCCAACUCUCUUCCCACACACCAUUCCAUACCUGCAGGAAGUAGCCCAACUUGAGCUGGCACCCCUAUACCCAAAGAGUCUGGGAUGUUGGGUGUAAGCAUCACCCCAGCCCCUGGCACCCCUAUACCCAAAGAGUCUGGAAUGUUUGUGUCAAGGCUUCACCCCAGCCCCUGGCAUCCAUAUACCCAAAGAGUCUGGAAUGUUUGGAUAGAAAUUUCCAUCCCAAGCCUCUGCUGGGGAGUUGCCUCAGUCCAGACUCCACCUCUGAGAAAGCCUGCCAAUUGAUGACCCCUCCCCAGAGAUGCUCAAGACCACUCCCACAGGGUAUUUAAACAGCAACCUAGAGGACAAACACAUGGUUUUCUGGUCUUCCUUCCCCAUCUCCUCCCUGAGGGCCUGGAAGGCCACCUGAGCACUGGUAUCCAUUAAACCUGGGCUUUUUCUGAUUCUGUUUGA